rnacentral:piRNA from 1 species
UGAAUCUGCCAAUCCAUGAGCAUGGGA